CCGGCGGCAGAAGGAGGCGGGCCCGCGCUCCUCGAGCACGUGCCGGGCCGUGCUCCGCUGAGUGAGGCGUGAGGAGCCGGGCCCGGAGAACGGCGGGACGAGGAGUGGCGGGGGCGGCGCUGAGGGGCGGCUGUUAGCUUUGGGCUGGGCACCUCGAAAUGGAGCGGGGGAGGCAGCUCCGUUUGAAAUCAAUUCCCUAUAAAAAGCAGUUGACGGAGGAGUUUGUAUUUGCGUCUGAACGCUUGCAUGCAGCUUCUAGGCGUAAAGAACUACAAUUCAGUGUUGUGUCACGGAUAGCAACAAGGACAUGGACACCAGAGACGACAGUGCAUCAGCUACCUCAGUUUAGAAGCUUUUUUUCAGCUGUUUUCAUCCUCUUUCUUCAAAUAAAGAAUUACUUCUGGUUCUCUCCUACUAAUAACAAAUCUGUACUCAGGUAAGUUGGAUUUUUACUCCAGCCCAUCUAAAAUUCAUUUAUCAGCAGUAUGUUUUGCAGAAAAAUGAAAGCACACUUUUACUGAACAUACAGAGUAGGUUUCAAUCAAGGUCAAGCUGUAAUUGAUAAUGUGUUUUUAUGGUUCCUAACAGUGGUGUGUUCUUUCCAUCAGACAAGUUGAAACUCGUUCUUUAAGGUCAUACACCUGUACAUCCUUAAAUAACAUAAUCAGCAUUUUCUUUUAUUCUCCCCUGCUCGUAAUCAAAUUAUCUUUGAUCUCUAAUUAACAUUAUAUAAACACCUUUAAGGAAUCUGAAAUGUGUUCUUGUGAAGUAAGCAUAGAUUUUCCAGACAGUGGAUGAUUCCCUACGUGUUUUGUUUUCAGGACACAAAGUACUAUUUUCUAUAUGCAGAAGUUACAUUAUCUGGGCUAUGGUUUCCUGUACAAAUUUACUGAGAAGAGACCCACCUCGGAUGAAAGAGGAAGCCUUGGAAUUAUGGCUUAAAUUAAGUAUUUGCAGCCUAAAUACAUUACAAAGAAUGCACAUGCCAUGUUUUAUACCUUACCUGUUCUGCCUACUGUCUUGUGCAAGUUAAGAGUUUGCAGCACAAGACAGAGGUUUAUUUUCUUCAUUAUACAGGCAUGGCAACAACAAAGUGUUGAUUCAGAGCAUUUUGUUUGAGCUAAGUUGUGUUCUCUAUGCACAGUGCAGUUCCUGAAGCACUGCAGUGCUGCACUUCUUAACAGCACCAUGUGAUGUUAUCAGGUGCCAUAGCUCAUCUGCACAAGCCUUUCAUAUGAACUAGGCAUCUGAAUGUAUUCAGAUUUAGGGUGCAUUAAUAAAGAUUCAGCGAUUCUCUUCAGAUUCACAGUUUUACACCUUAUUAUCCUGUUGGGGUGCUGUCUAGUGGGGAAGAUGCAUUGCUGAUAGCUGGUUUUGUCACAAAGCGGGGAACCCUUACAGAGCCUGCAAAAUGGACGAUCAUAGAAACAUCAUUAGUUCAGUUUCUCUGUUCCUAUGGGAAGAGGCUCAAAUCACACAGGUACUUCAGGAAAACGUUGUGCUGGAUCUGCUGUGCUGCAAAGAGCGCUGCUUUGAGGCACAGCCAGCUCACACUGGCAGAGCUGAACAGUCUGCACGGAAGAGGAGGCUUCAGUCACUUUUUUGUACGAAACAGAAAACAAGGAUCUGCAAAGACAUACUGUGGUUGUACUUGGAAAAUACCUGACGAGCACUAAAAAGCUUCUCUUUACAGAUAAACAGUCAACAUGCGUGACAGUUUGUAACUUUUCUUCCUAGUUGGAGAAGUUACUUGGUACAUGCUGCAUGGUUUAUUUCUGUAGGCAGGAAAAAAUGUCUUUUCAGUUGUGUUCUCAGUAGCUGUAUUGUUAUGUUUUGGUUUUGGCAUGUGCCAUUCUCUGGCAUAUACUCAGAUAUACCUUUUUUUUUUUCCUACUCAGAGUUAUUUUCUGAAUACUGUACAUUUCCAUAGGACUUCCAAACACCAGCAGCCCAGCUGCAGCAUGCUUGUUCCUCCCUGUGUCCCUUUUUUCUUCUGCUGUCAUUUUUUUCCAGCUUUGCCCUGGAUCUGUGUCACUCUUCUCUGAACUCUGGGGGGACAGGACAUCCCAGGCUCCUGUUUGCUGUCCAUUGCACCCCCAGAUCAGCUGCUGCAUAACUGUUGCCCAUCCUCCCAGUGUGAUAUAGUCCUUCCACAGUGCAGUAGUUUGUCCCGGCCUUCACUGGACAAAUCAUCACUGGGGCUGGUCAAAAUCAUUUUAAUUACAGCCCUGUCAUUCCUUGCUUUUACCUGCAGAUUUACGGAACAUGCUCUCAAAAACAGGGUAGCAGUGAAAUUACUGUGAAUGAUUAAAUCCAAGAUCUGGAAGAGGUGCCCUGAAGAAUGUUGUCUAAUCUAACCUGUCAACCAUUGCUAGCUACUGUGAGGAUGAUUUCCAAUCAUUUUGGCACUCACAUUAUAGCAGUUUUGUGUACUCUUUGGCCAAGGUUCAUCUUUCCUAACUUUAGACACUUAACCUAGAGAGUAAUUGCCUAAAGCUACUUUCAAAGUCAAUAAUUAAGAG